rnacentral:rRNA from 1 species
UCUUUUAGCAGGAAGAAGCGAAAGUGACGGUACCUGCAGAAAAAGCGCCGGCUAACUACGUGCCAGCAGCCGCGGUAAUACGUAGGGCGCAAGCGUUAUCCGGAAUUAUUGGGCGUAAAGAGCUCGUAGGCGGUUUGUCGCGUCUGCUGUGAAAUCCCGAGGCUCAACCUCGGGCCUGCAGUGGGUACGGGCAGACUAGAGUGCGGUAGGGGAGAUUGGAAUUCCUGGUGUAGCGGUGGAAUGCGCAGAUAUCAGGAGGAACACCGAUGGCGAAGGCAGAUCUCUGGGCCGUAACUGACGCUGAGGAGCGAAAGGGUGGGGAGCAAACAGGCUUAGAUACCCUGGUAGUCCACCCCGUAAACGUUGGGAACUAGUUGUGGGGUCCAUUCCACGGAUUCCGUGACGCAGCUAACGCAUUAAGUUCCCCGCCUGGGGAGUACGGCCGCAAGGCUAAAACUCAAAGGAAUUGACGGGGACCCGCACAAGCGGCGGAGCAUGCGGAUUAAUUCGAUGCAACGCGAAGAACCUUACCAAGGCUUGACAUAUACGAGAACGGGCCAGAAAUGGUCAACUCUUUGGACACUCGUAAACAGGUGGUGCAUGGUUGUCGUCAGCUCGUGUCGUGAGAUGUUGGGUUAAGUCCCGCAACGAGCGCAACCCUCGUUCUAUGUUGCCAGCACGUAAUGGUGGGAACUCAUGGGAUACUGCCGGGGUCAACUCGGAGGAAGGUGGGGAUGACGUCAAAUCAUCAUGCCCCUUAUGUCUUGGGCUUCACGCAUGCUACAAUGGCCGGUACAAAGGGCUGCAAUACCGUGAGGUGGAGCGAAUCCCAAAAAGCCGGUCCCAGUUCGGAUUGAGGUCUGCAACUCGACCUCAUGAAGUCGGAGUCGCUAGUAAUCGCAGAUCAGCAACGCUGCGGUGAAUACGUUCCCGGGUCUUGUACACACCGCCCGUCAAGUCAUGAAAGUCGGUAACACCUGAAGCCGGUGGCCUAACCCUUGUGGAGGGAGCUGUCGAAGGUGGAUCGGU